UAUUCUUCAAAAUGUCCUGAAGAAAGCUGCACAUGUUGUUUCAUGUUUCAUUUGACACAAAGUGACUAAAACAGAGUGGAGAAAAUCCAGAUUUCCAUACAUCCUGAAGAACACGUUAUUCAAAUCUCUUUUGGUGCAUGACUGCUAGAGAUCAUUUGAUUUUAAAAUGUUGGUUUUGUUAUGAAAACGUGUUUGCACAGGUAGUUUCAAGAUUUUUUUAAAACAAGAAAAAAAGCCCAAAAGAAAUAGCUGGAGUGCACAGAGAAAGAGGGCGGGGAUUCAUUUCCCGUAAAUGAAGAAGACGUCACAUCACUGAGAGGAACAAUGAAGGAAACAUCUCUGCAAUGUCUGCUCAGUAAGUAAAAACCUCUUAAGGUUACCUAAAGUUUAUUUUUACAGAUUUUUUGAUUGUUGAUUGAUGACAGAUGAAAGAAAAUGACAACAACAAAUGAAACAGUAUUUCAAGAAAGUUUAAAACACAGAGAAGACACAUUUCAGCUGUGAAGAGGAAGUUUGAGCAUCUUACACAAAAAUAGGAUGUGAAAAACUGAAUUUAGCAAUUUAGUGAUUUUAAAAACAGAACUGUACUGUGGACAUACAUUUACUAUUACUUGUGAUGUCUUUUUUGACAAUGCAUACAGAAAGUCUACAGCACGAAAACAAAGUAGAACGAUAUUUAAAAAAUGAAAAAUUGCUUGUUUGCCUGUUUGACAAUAAUACAAAAAUUCAUCCAUCCUCAGAUUAAGAUCAAGACUGCUUGUUUCUGUUGUCUUUGUUAUAAAAAUAAUUGAAGUUAAAGACUUUGUCUGAUCUUGAAAAUAAACAUGUUUUAUGUGGAGUUUUUUUUUUCUAUCAGUGUUUGUGUUUAUGUCUGUGGACGUGAUUCAUGUCUGACUGCAGUCAUCACAUUUGACAAAUCACAAGUUUAAAAUUUUGACAUAAAGCAUAAAUCAGACUUUAGAGGAACAUUUUAAUCAACACUGACACCACAGAAUCUCUUCUCUUUAUUGGACACAGCAGUACAGAAGAAAAUAUGACUGAUCACUUGAUUGACUGAUUGAUGAAGAAUUUAUGUGUUUGUGAAAAGUCAAACCAACCUUUCCUCUUUAGUUCUGAUCUCACUGCUGAGCUGCACAACACACCAAGCUCGUCUGACUGUGAGUCCCAGCAGCUCUCAGUUCUUUAAAGGAGACUUUGUGUCUCUGAGCUGUGAGGAGGACGACAGCUCUGCUGGAUGGACUCUGAGGAGAAACACAAGCAAACAACAAAUGACAGAGUGCGGAUCUGGGUGGGGAAUAUUGACUAAUUCUUCCUGUAACAUCAGCUACAGCACCACAUGGGACAGUGGAGUUUACUGGUGUGAGUCCAGAGAGGGUCCCAUGAGUAACAUGGUUAACCUGACAGUCACUGGUGGAUCAGUGAUCCUGCAGAGUCCUGUCCUCCCUGUGAUGGAGGGAGAUGACGUCACUC